AGUGGAUGUUGGGAAGGGUUUGUGUUUGAGAGCGGUUUGCUGUCGUGCGUGGUUUCUAUCUUCUUUUUUCUGUAUGUGUUUUUUUUCUUUUUUUCUUUUUUCUUUUUGCUUUGUACAGUUUGCUGUGUGUAAAAUUUAAUAUUGGGUUAAAUUUAGUAGCGUGCCGUGCUUUUGCACGGUCCGUCUAGGAAUGGCGUCCACAGGUGGAAGAACGCCAUUAUCUCUGCGUCAUGGUUUCAGUACGGAGAGUUUACGCUGUUUUGAGUGCCGGGAAUACGGCCACAAAAGAGACUCGUGCCCUCAAAAGAAAAUUUUGGACCAAGCUAGGAUAAGUGAGACGGAAGAAACAUUGGUGUGUAAAGAUGUGGAGGUGAAUCAGAAGACAGGAGAGGAAACAUCAGGCUCGGAAGAGGGUCCUGUGGCUGUGGCUGAGACGAAUAAAGACAAUGGAUUGGAGAUCAUGUGUCCCUUUCAUCAUGACAAUAUCCAGGUCUAUGGGCAUCCCAGGAGUCUCAGGACAUGAGGCAGUGCUAGAGGCCAUUUCUCCCACAGCAGGCUUCACAUUUCUUCAAGUGGGCGGUUCAUUUAGAUAAUUUGCUAGAGGCUGCGAUUGGUUCUCCUCCUCACCAGACCCGAUAUAAGGACUGCCCCAGACACUCAAUUGGGGCCAAUUUGUGCGUGAUGCUGUAGUUUGCCUUUGUGCCUUGCCAUCAUCGUUCUUUUAAAUCUUUGAGUGUCUUACCAGAGAGAUAGUGUGUGGGUGAUUAAGAUUGUGAGUGUGAUUGUAAUUCUGUUUCAAUCACAUUUGAAACAGAUUUCAAUUUUUUGUUUCCAUUCUGUGAAAUUCCUUGUUAACUUGACCCAAGCCUGAUUGACUAUGAUUUUGGAUUCCGAUUGUGAAUUGUGGGCUGUUAACUUGUAUAUAUGUUUUGUAAAUACGUUUUGGCAAAUUGAGGGAUUAAGGGGGUUAGACGCCAUUUUAUUUUGAAACCACUUUUCACAUUGUUUUUGGUUUAGGGAGUCAGGCACUGUAAGUUGAAACUGUAUUUUUGUUUUCUUUAAUUUUGAUUUAGGAAGUGUAGAGUGUUAAAAAAAUAUAUAUAUUUU
ensembl:lncRNA